rnacentral:rRNA from 1 species
UACGGAGGAUCCAAGCGUUAUCCGGAUUUAUUGGGUUUAAAGGGUGCGUAGGCGGCUUUUUAAGUCAGGGGUGAAAGACGGUGGCUCAACCAUCGCAGUGCCCUUGAUACUGAAGAGCUUGAAUGGACUAGAGGUAGGCGGAAUGUGACAAGUAGCGGUGAAAUGCAUAGAUAUGUCACAGAACACCGAUUGCGAAGGCAGCUUACUAUGGUUUAAUUGACGCUGAGGCACGAAAGCGUGGGGAUCAAACAGG